CAUUUAAUCAUAGUAAAAUUGAUAUUCGGUUAAGAAAUUAAUUUGAGUAAUUUGCCAUUGGGUGAGGCGACAACACUGUACUUCUUCUUCAUUUGCGAAUUUCCGAGCUACUGCGAGUGUUUACAUUAUCGUUUUGUUAAACAAUUCUAAAAUUCUUCUCUAAAACUGCAUUAUCAUUUGACUACAUGAUGAGAUACUGCUUAGAGACGUUUUCAGAAUACGGUCAUGGCGGAUUUUAUGUCGGAACUUAAAGCCCAGAGAUAAAAGUGUUGAGUGCCCGUUUGUAAACCCUGAGGCUGCAUUUUUCACAUUUUCUUACAAACUUUGUUAAAAGCUGUUAAAAUGUUUACUUUCUACCGGGUCCUCCAGAUAGUAGUGAAAACAAGUGGAAAUGUGCAGCUCAUCUUAAAGCUUAUUAUUCAGUAUUUGAUAGUAGAUGCACGAAUUUAACAUGGAAUGCUGUACCAACUUUAAAUCUGACGCCAGAGCCGAGCAAAUCAAUCAUCUUUCAGAAAAUAUCCGGACAAGGAGAACACUGGUACAUCACAGAAACAAACAUUUGUUGCAAAUAGUUCCGAAAGCAACAAAACAUGGUUGUAACUGAUUUAUUGACUACGUAUUGAAUAAAGUAUUACAUAACA